rnacentral:rRNA from 1 species
CCCAGUAACGGCGAGUGAAGCGGCAAGAGCUCAAAUUUGAAAUCUGGCCUCCCCCGGGGGUCCGAGUUGUAAUUUGCAGAGGAUGCUUCGGGCGCGGCCCCCGUCUAAGUUCCUUGGAACAGGACGUCAGAGAGGGUGAGAAUCCCGUCUUGGGCGGGCGGCCCGCGCCCGUGUGAAGCUCCUUCGACGAGUCGAGUUGUUUGGGAAUGCAGCUCUAAGCGGGUGGUAAAUUUCAUCUAAAGCUAAAUACCGGCCGGAGACCGAUAGCGCACAAGUAGAGUGAUCGAAAGGUUAAAAGCACCUUGAAAAGGGAGUUAAACAGCACGUGAAAUUGUUGAAAGGGAAGCGCUUGCGGCCAGACUCGGGGGGCGGGGUUCAGCGGGCGCUCGUCGCCCGUGCACUGCCCGCUCCCCGGGCCAGCAUCAGCUUCGACGGCCGGUCAAAGGCCCCCGGAAUGUGUCGUCUCUAGGGACGUCUUAUAGCCGGGGGUGCAAUGCGGCCCGUCGAGACUGAGGAACGCGCUCCGGCUCGGAUGCUG